rnacentral:misc_RNA from 1 species
AUUCGAGUACUACAGCCUACCUUUGUAUGGGACACACAUAUUAAACAAGGGGAGGAAACAUGGGGCAAUGGCUAUUACUCCUUCUCUGUAUUGGUCUGGUUGAUUGUGCGUACAAGCGGUGGUUGUCCAACACAAAUUUUGGGAACCCCGCGAACUGGAAUGCUGGUCGAGCGCCGUGUGGUAACGACGUGGCGGUGAUUCAUGACGAGAGCGCCGCAGUGUUCCUUCAGGUCAACACCACCGUCAAGCAACUGUUGAUGCCGAUGAAUGGAGAAGUGGUGUUUGGAUCUGAUGUUGUCCUUGGCUUCACGGAACAGCCUGAUCAUAGCGCCUCUUGUACGCCGUACAGCUCUAAUGUCGAGUUUAAUGUCACCUAUCCCAGAGACUGGUUCGACUCCAACAAUUGGUGCGAAACGGAUUCAGAAACCGGGGACUGCAAAACCAUUGCCCGGCUAGAUUCUGAAAAAGUGCCAUGCAUGAAUGACGAUGUUGUUUAUCCAAGCGGAAACUCAUUCUACGUUAAUUUAGAAACUGGAAUUGAUAUUAAAGUCAAUACUUUCAAAAUUACAGGAAAAGCGUAUACAACGACGAGUUUUCAGUCCUUUCUGUCCACCGAUCAAGGUAAAGGGAUGUUUCCCCUCCCUAACAAUGGCCAGAGAUCGUCAGUCACCAUACAGAGGCGGCCAUGUAACGACCCCACGGGGUGUAUGUGUGGAAACAACAAGGGGGAGGUUUUGAAUCGUGUAUGUGUCAUACAACGAAAGAGAUGCACCAAAGCACAAUGUAGAACACCAUUGAAACCAGUCGGACAUUGCUGCGACUUGUGUGGUGGCGUCGCUGUCAUGAAAUUUGGAAGCGGGUUCCGAUUUGAUACUCUAGUGAAUGGGAUUCGGAGAAACCUCAUCGACGGAAAACCGGAAUACAAAGAUGUCCAAGUAAUCACCUCCAAAAUCUCCGAGGACGAGAUUCAGAUGGUACUCUUGGACACAGAUGGGGUGCGUGCGUCACAGCUGACUAGGGAAAUAGCAAAGGAGGUGCAAAAUGACAUUAACGCGGGCGGUUUCAAAUAUAGCGUUCUGAGCGUGAGAGUAGACGUUUCUUCUGGGGGAGGCAGCACGGGCCCGAUAUCCAGCGCACAGACAGAUUUUCCUAAAUUCUUUUAAAUAGCGGAAUCAAUCCCCAACGGAGAAAUAGCGGGUAUUGUUGUCGGAGGGGCAGUUGUGGUCGGGUUGCUUAUAGUGGUAGCCAUCUUCGUAUAUAGAAGAAAACAGAGUCCAACCGAUGAAUUGGGAUUCAAAGUUUUUGAUAAAAUCAGUUUCAAAAAGCCAAAUUUCCGGAAGCCUCGAGUUGAAGUUCCUCCUUCUUUUGGCUUCCGGUUUGGUGGACCGGAAAAUGUUGGUCCAUCGCAGGGUUUCGAUAACCCGAUGUACGGAAACAACCCACUGGAGAACGAAAAACCAAUGGACAUGGAAAUAAUGCCAAGUUCCCUUGGUCUGGAACAGGAGGAACAACCAACUUUCGACUCUUCCCGGGGGUUUGAUAACCCACUGUAUGACAGCCCACCAUUAAACGUGCGUUGUUAUGAAUUGUGAUAUUGAAAUUAGUAUCCUAUGCUAGAACUCGUAGAUUUAACUGAUAUGCAAAAAAAAAAAAAUGAAAAAAAAACUUGCAUGCAAUUGUAUUUUCUUUUGUUCAACUUAAUUAAUUUACGGUCACGGUUCAUGCAAGUUUUUUUUUAGCGCAUAAUGAUAAUAAGUUUUGUUUUCUUUUUUUUUUUGCAUGCAUGUCAUGAAUAUUAUAUCGAUUCCAUAUUUAAUACUAAGUAAUAACUGUAUCUUUAGGAGUCAAUGUUUACGGAUCCCUCAGUCGUUGAGAAAACUUCUGACCUGGGAUCGAGACCAACAAGCUUUGUGAACCCUAUGGCCAUGGUAGAGGACAACCCACAAACUUAAUGACGCCUCUCUCUCUCUCUCUCUCUUAUCAAUUUGUUCUCAAUAAUUUGCUUUCACUACAUGUAUGUCAACUUUUUUCAAACGUAAAUUUAAAUAAACUUUUUUUUUCUGAC